rnacentral:rRNA from 1 species
GAUGAACGCUGGCGGCGUGCCUAAUACAUGCAAGUCGAGCGAACAGACGAGGAGCUUGCUCCUCUGACGUUAGCGGCGGACGGGUGAGUAACACGUGGAUAACCUACCUAUAAGACUGGGAUAACUUCGGGAAACCGGAGCUAAUACCGGAUAAUAUAUUUAACCGCAUGGUUCAAUAGUGAAAGACGGUUUUGCUGUCACUUAUAGAUGGAUCCGCGCCGCAUUAGCUAGUUGGUAAGGUAACGGCUUACCAAGGCAACGAUGCGUAGCCGACCUGAGAGGGUGAUCGGCCACACUGGAACUGAGACACGGUCCAGACUCCUACGGGAGGCAGCAGUAGGGAAUCUUCCGCAAUGGGCGAAAGCCUGACGGAGCAACGCCGCGUGAAUGAUGAAGGUCUUCGGAUCGUAAAACUCUGUUAUUAGGGAAGAACAAAUGUGUAAGUAACUAUGCACGUCUUGACGGUACCUAAUCAGAAAGCCACGGCUAACUACGUG